GACGAACGCUGGCGGCGUGCUUAACACAUGCAAGUCGAACGGAAAGGCCCUGCUUGCAUGGUACUCGCGUGGCGAACGGGUGAGUAACACGUGGGUGAUAUGCCCUGCACUUCGGGAUAAGCCUGGGAAACUGGGUCUAUUAUAGGAUAGGAGCCAUCCUUCGUGUGGUGGUUGGAUAGAUUUUUCGGUGUAGGAUGAGCUCGCGGCCUAUCAGCUUGCUGGUGGGGUAAUGGCCUACCAAGGCGGCGAUGGGUAGCCGGCCUGGGAGGGUGGACGGCCACAUUGGGACUGGGGUACGGCCCAGACUCCUACGGGAGGCAGCAGGGGGGAAUAUUGCACAAUGGGCGCAAGCCUGAUGCAGCGACGCCGCGGGGGGGAUGACGGCCUUCGGGUUGUAAACUCCUUUCGCUAGGGACGAAGCUUUUUGUGACGGUACCUAGAUAAGAAGCACCGGCUAACUACGUG
rnacentral:rRNA from 1 species